rnacentral:rRNA from 1 species
UCGCGUCUUACCAUGCAAGUCGAACGAUGAAGCCCUUCGGGGUGGAUUAGUGGCGAACGGGUGAGUAACACGUGGGCAAUCUGCCCUUCACUCUGGGACAAGCCCUGGAAACGGGGUCUAAUACCGGAUAACACUCCUUCCUGCAUGGGGAGGGGUUGAAAGCUCCGGCGGUGAAGGAUGAGCCCGCGGCCUAUCAGCUUGUUGGUGGGGUGAUGGCCUACCAAGGCGACGACGGGUAGCCGGCCUGAGAGGGCGACCGGCCACACUGGGACUGAGACACGGCCCAGACUCCUACGGGAGGCAGCAGUGGGGAAUAUUGCACAAUGGGCGAAAGCCUGAUGCAGCGACGCCGCGUGAGGGAUGACGGCCUUCGGGUUGUAAACCUCUUUCAGCAGGGAAGAAGCGAAAGUGACGGUACCUGCAGAAGAAGCGCCGGCUAACUACGUGCCAGCAGCCGCGGUAAUACGUAGGGCGCAAGCGUUGUCCGGAAUUAUUGGCCGUAAAGAGCUCGUAGGCGGCUUGUCACGUCGGAUGUGAAAGCCCGGGACUUAACCCCGGGUCUGCAUUCGAUACGGGCUAGCUAGAGUGUGGUAGGGGAAAUCGGAAUUCCUGGUGUAGCGGUGAAAUGCGCAGAUAUCAGGAGGAACACCGGUGGCGAAGGCGGAUCUCUGGGCCAUUACUGACGCUGAGGAGCGAAAGCGUGGGGAGCGAACAGGAUUAAAUACCCUGGUAGUCCACGCCGUAAACGUUGGGAACUAGGUGUUGGCAACAUUCCACGUCGUCGGUGCCCCACCUAACG